rnacentral:rRNA from 1 species
GGGUUGUGAGGUUAAGCGACUAAGCGUACACGGUGGAUGCCCUGGCAGUCAGAGGCGAUGAAGGACGUGCUAAUCUGCGAUAAGCGUCGGUAAGGUGAUAUGAACCGUUAUAACCGGCGAUUUCCGAAUGGGGAAACCCAGUGUGUUUCGACACACUAUCAUUAACUGAAUCCAUAGGUUAAUGAGGCGAACCGGGGGAACUGAAACAUCUAAGUACCCCGAGGAAAAGAAAUCAACCGAGAUUCCCCCAGUAGCGGCGAGCGAACGGGGAGCAGCCCAGAGCCUGAAUCAGUGUGUGUGUUAGUGGAAGCGUCUGGAAAGGCGCGCGAUACAGGGUGACAGCCCCGUACACAAAAAUGCACAUGCUGUGAGCUCGAUGAGUAGGGCGGGACACGUGGUAUCCUGUCUGAAUAUGGGGGGACCAUCCUCCAAGGCUAAAUACUCCUGACUGACCGAUAGUGAACCAGUACCGUGAGGGAAAGGCGAAAAGAACCCCGGCGAGGGGAGUGAAAAAGAACCUGAAACCGUGUACGUACAAGCAGUGGGAGCACAGAGCAAUCUGUGUGACUGCGUACCUUUUGUAUAAUGGGUCAGCGACUUAUAUUCUGUAGCAAGGUUAACCGAAUAGGGGAGCCGAAGGGAAACCGAGUCUUAACUGGGCGUUAAGUUGCAGGGUAUAGACCCGAAACCCGGUGAUCUAGCCAUGGGCAGGUUGAAGGUUGGGUAACACUAACUGGAGGACCGAACCGACUAAUGUUGAAAAAUUAGCGGAUGACUUGUGGCUGGGGGUGAAAGGCCAAUCAAACCGGGAGAUAGCUGGUUCUCCCCGAAAGCUAUUUAGGUAGCGCCUCGUGAAUUCAUCUCCGGGGGUAGAGCACUGUUUCGGCAAGGGGGUCAUCCCGACUUACCAACCCGAUGCAAACUGCGAAUACCGGAGAAUGUUAUCACGGGAGACACACGGCGGGUGCUAACGUCCGUCGUGAAGAGGGAAACAACCCAGACCGCCAGCUAAGGUCCCAAAGUCAUGGUUAAGUGGGAAACGAUGUGGGAAGGCCCAGACAGCCAGGAUGUUGGCUUAGAAGCAGCCAUCAUUUAAAGAAAGCGUAAUAGCUCACUGGUCGAGUCGGCCUGCGCGGAAGAUGUAACGGGGCUAAACCAUGCACCGAAGCUGCGGCAGCGACGCUGAUGCGUUGUUGGGUAGGGGAGCGUUCUGUAAGCCUGCGAAGGUGUGCUGUGAGGCAUGCUGGAGGUAUCAGAAGUGCGAAUGCUGACAUAAGUAACGAUAAAGCGGGUGAAAAGCCCGCUCGCCGGAAGACCAAGGGUUCCUGUCCAACGUUAAUCGGGGCAGGGUGAGUCGACCCCUAAGGCGAGGCCGAAAGGCGUAGUCGAUGGGAAACAGGUUAAUAUUCCUGUACUUGGUGUUACUGCGAAGGGGGGACGGAGAAGGCUAUGUUGGCCGGGCGACGGUUGUCCCGGUUUAAGCGUGUAGGCUGGUUUUCCAGGCAAAUCCGGAAAAUCAAGGCUGAGGCGUGAUGACGAGGCACUACGGUGCUGAAGCAACAAAUGCCCUGCUUCCAGGAAAAGCCUCUAAGCAUCAGGUAACAUCAAAUCGUACCCCAAACCGACACAGGUGGUCAGGUAGAGAAUACCAAGGCGCUUGAGAGAACUCGGGUGAAGGAACUAGGCAAAAUGGUGCCGUAACUUCGGGAGAAGGCACGCUGAUAUGUAGGUGAAGUCCCUCGCGGAUGGAGCUGAAAUCAGUCGAAGAUACCAGCUGGCUGCAACUGUUUAUUAAAAACACAGCACUGUGCAAACACGAAAGUGGACGUAUACGGUGUGACGCCUGCCCGGUGCCGGAAGGUUAAUUGAUGGGGUCAGCGCAAGCGAAGCUCUUGAUCGAAGCCCCGGUAAACGGCGGCCGUAACUAUAACGGUCCUAAGGUAGCGAAAUUCCUUGUCGGGUAAGUUCCGACCUGCACGAAUGGCGUAAUGAUGGCCAGGCUGUCUCCACCCGAGACUCAGUGAAAUUGAACUCGCUGUGAAGAUGCAGUGUACCCGCGGCAAGACGGAAAGACCCCGUGAACCUUUACUAUAGCUUGACACUGAACAUUGAGCCUUGAUGUGUAGGAUAGGUGGGAGGCUUUGAAGUGUGGACGCCAGUCUGCAUGGAGCCGACCUUGAAAUACCACCCUUUAAUGUUUGAUGUUCUAACGUGGACCCGUAAUCCGGGUUGCGGACAGUGUCUGGUGGGUAGUUUGACUGGGGCGGUCUCCUCCUAAAGAGUAACGGAGGAGCACGAAGGUUGGCUAAUCCUGGUCGGACAUCAGGAGGUUAGUGCAAUGGCAUAAGCCAGCUUGACUGCGAGCGUGACGGCGCGAGCAGGUGCGAAAGCAGGUCAUAGUGAUCCGGUGGUUCUGAAUGGAAGGGCCAUCGCUCAACGGAUAAAAGGUACUCCGGGGAUAACAGGCUGAUACCGCCCAAGAGUUCAUAUCGACGGCGGUGUUUGGCACCUCGAUGUCGGCUCAUCACAUCCUGGGGCUGAAGUAGGUCCCAAGGGUAUGGCUGUUCGCCAUUUAAAGUGGUACGCGAGCUGGGUUUAGAACGUCGUGAGACAGUUCGGUCCCUAUCUGCCGUGGGCGCUGGAGAAUUGAGGGGGGCUGCUCCUAGUACGAGAGGACCGGAGUGGACGCAUCACUGGUGUUCGGGUUGUCAUGCCAAUGGCACUGCCCGGUAGCUAAAUGCGGAAGAGAUAAGUGCUGAAAGCAUCUAAGCACGAAACUUGCCCCGAGAUGAGUUCUCCCUGACUCCUUGAGAGUCCUGAAGGAACGUUGAAGACGACGACGUUGAUAGGCCGGGUGUGUAAGCGCAGCGAUGCGUUGAGCUAACCGGUACUAAUGAACCGUGAGGCUUAACCUUACAACGCCGAAGCUGUU